CAACCCUCAGGCCCUGCCUGGCGUUGGAGGACUGCGCUGCAGCCUCCUAAAGCAAGCGGCGGCGGCGCCCCAAAACCGAACGCAGUAAUACAUCUCGUUCUGGGUCUGGGACGUUGUCCGGCCGGAAAACCCCCUCUUUUACGU
rnacentral:misc_RNA from 3 species